rnacentral:misc_RNA from 1 species
AACGAGGCCGACCUGCGGCUGAGUUACCUGCGGAGGGAUCAUUACACAAUACAAUAUGAAGGCUGUCCGCAGCUGGAGUAUUUUAUUACCCUUGUCUUUUGCGCACUUGUUGUUUCCUGGGCGGGUUCGCUCGCCACCAGGACCACCAAAUAAACCUUUUUUAUGCAGUUGCAAUCAGCGUCAGUACAAACAAUGUAAAUCAUUUACAACUUUCAACAACGGAUCUCAGAUCGGAAGAGC